rnacentral:rRNA from 1 species
AUUGAACGCUGGCGGCAGGCUUAACACAUGCAAGUCGAGCGGAGAUGAGGUGCUUGCACCUUAUCUUAGCGGCGGACGGGUGAGUAAUGCUUAGGAAUCUGCCUAUUAGUGGGGGACAACAUUCCGAAAGGAAUGCUAAUACCGCAUACGUCCUACGGGAGAAAGCAGGGGAUCUUCGGACCUUGCGCUAAUAGAUGAGCCUAAGUCGGAUUAGCUAGUUGGUGGGGUAAAGGCCUACCAAGGCGACGAUCUGUAGCGGGUCUGAGAGGAUGAGCCGCCACACUGGGACUGUGAAACGGCCCAGACUCCUACGGGAGGCAGCAGUGGGGAAUAUUGGACAAUGGGGGGAACCCUGAUCCAGCCAUGCCGCGUGUGUGAAGAAGGCCUUAUGGUUAUAAAGCACUUUAAGCGAGGAGGAGGCUACUGAGACUAAUACUCUUGGAUAGUGGACGUUACUCGCAGAAUAAGCACCGGCUAACUCUGUGCCAGCAGCCGCCGUAA